rnacentral:rRNA from 1 species
ACAGAGGGGGCAAGCGUUGUUCGGAAUUACUGGGCGUAAAGGGCGCGUAGGCGGCCUGCUAAGUCGAACGUGAAAUCCCUGGGCUCAACCCAGGAACUGCGUCCGAUACUGGUUGGCUUGAAUCCGGGAGAGGGAUGCGGAAUUCCAGGUGUAGCGGUGAAAUGCGUAGAUAUCUGGAGGAACACCUGUGGUGUAGACAGCUUACUGGACCAUUUCUGACGCUGAGACACGAAAGCGUGGGUAGCAAACAGGA